rnacentral:rRNA from 1 species
CCUACGGGAGGCAGCAGUGGGGAAUAUUGGGCAAUGGAGGAAACUCUGACCCAGCGACGCCGCGUGCGGGAUGAAGGCCUUCGGGUUGUAAACCGCUUUCAGUAGGGAAGAAGCGAAAGUGACGGUACCUACAGAAGAAGCACCGGCUAACUAUGUGCCAGCAGCCGCGGUAAUACAUAGGGUGCAAGCGUUGUCCGGAAUUAUUGGGCGUAAAGAGCUCGUAGGUGGUUCGUCACGUCGGAUGUGAAAAUCUGGGGCUCAACCCCAGACCUGCAUUCGAUACGGGCGAUCUAGAGUGUGGUAGGGGAGACUGGAAUUCCUGGUGUAGCGGUGGAAUGCGCAGAUAUCAGGAGGAACACCAAUGGCGAAGGCAGGUCUCUGGGCCAUUACUGACACUGAGGAGCGAAAGCGUGGGGAGCGAACAGGAUUAGAUACCCUGGUAGUCCACGCCGUAAACGGUGGGCACUAGUUGUGGGAACCUUCCACGGUUUUCUGCGACGCAGCUACGCAUAGUGCCCGCCGUCGGGUAGGUACGANCGCAGAUAAACUACAAGAAGUAGACGCGNGAGACGNGCGACGACGACGACGAGGGAGUAGG